UUUGUUGGUAAUUAUUUUUAAAAUAUAAACCAAAAGUUAUUAUUAUGAAUAAAAUCAGGUUAUGUUUUUAUCCUAUUUUAGUUUGUCCAGCAGGAUCACCUUUGACCUCUUCAUGCUGAACUGGUCUCUUGUGGUCUUUGAGCUGCUGUGACGUCUGUCAAUAUUUGAACUGUGGUCAACGAUCAGCUGGAGUCCAUUUUACCUCUGACAUCAACCGUCUGUCCUCACAGGAGACCGUUAGAGACAACAAGAGACAGAUAGACAGACAUGCUGCUGGUCUGGACUCUCACUCUGCUCACCUGCUCUGAACUGAUCCAAUGUACAGUGAUCCUGGACCGGUCCUCGGCGGUUCAGGUCCUGUUCUCGUCCUCCAGGAGGAGACGAGCCAACUCCUUCCUGGAGGAGGUGUUACCUGGAGACCUGGAGAGGGAGUGUCAGGAGGAGGUCUGCUCUCAGGAGGAGGCCGCCGAGAUCUUUCAGACCAGAGAGAAGACGCUGGAGUUCUGGUACAAAUACACAAGUGAGUAUAUUCAUCAUCAAAAUGAUGUAAAAAAACGCUCCUAAUAUUCAGACUGAGGAUCGGUCUUCACUGAACUGAUCCAGAUCCUCAUGUGACCUUGCCGAUCUGGAUUCAUGUGGUCCUGCUGAUCCUUUAUUUAAACCUGAUCUGAUCUUAAGGUACUUUUACAAUAUUUGACAAAACGGUCUCACCACAGGGUCCAGUAGCUGUUAGCAGCUGUUCAGGAGCUUUCAAUCACUCCACAUGAUCUUCAAUCUGCUCAGAGGUAGUCAUGGUGCGUUCGAGUGUCUCUGCUCUGUGUCGUAGAUCUGAACCAGGUAGUCAUGGUGCGUUCGAGUGUCUCUGCUCUGUGUCGUAGAUCUGAACCCUUGUAGGACCAGCCCCUGUCUGAAUGGAGGAUUGUGCUCUCUGGACGAAGGAGACUUCUUGUGUCUUUGUCCUCCUCAGUUCCACGGAAAGACGUGCGACUCAGCGGUGGUGGAGUGUCACUAUAGAAACGGCGGCUGCAUGCAGUACUGCAGAGAUCAGCGGGGGGGCGCUGGAGUCCAGUGUGGCUGCGCUGAUGGAUUCAGACUGGAGGAGGACGGACAAAGCUGCUCCAAGACAGGUAACACUCAUAGAACCCAGGUUAUAACAGUUACUGCCUCACAGGGUGUAGUGUACCUCACGGUAAGUAGUGUACCUCACAGUGUUUAGUAUACCUCACGGUGUUUACUAUACCUCACGGUGUUUAGUGUACCCCACGGUGUUUAGUAUACCUCACGGUGUUUAGUGUACCUCGCUGUGUUUAGUGUACCUCGCUGUGUUUAGUGUACCUCGCGGUGUUUAGUGUACCUCGCGGUGUUUAGUAUUCCUCACUGUGUUUACUGUACCUCGCGGUGUUUACUGUACCUCGCGGUGUUUAGUGUACCUUGCGGUGUUUACUGUACCUCGGGGUGUUUACUGUACCUCGCGGUGUGUAGUAACCUCACUGUGUGUAGUAACCUCACUGUAUGUAGUAACCUCACUGUGUUUAGUAACCUCACGGUGUUGAGUAAGCUCACGGUGUUUAGUGUACUGUUGCGUUAACUCUCUUCAGCAAAUACCCCCGGUGGGCUUUUCUAUCAAGUUAUCAGAUGUCAAGUAUGACACGAGAGCCUCGGCCGGUCUGUUUUAGGCCUCUCGUCUUCAGUAGACGAUCUAGUUACACCAGGAUAUUGCCGCCUCCCGCCCCCUAGAUUCCUUACUACGGUUCAUCAAUGUUGGGCAACGAUUUCAAGGAGGAUUUUUUGUUCAGGGGUCCGGUUAACGUAGGUUCACUUCGCCGAGUCAAGUAGACGAUUUAACUACUCUGAGGCAGGUAGUACCUGUGGGUGGACUUCCCCACUUUGAACAGCCUUGUUAUUUUAUUUUAUAUCGUUUUAAUGUCUAUCACCAGUCUCAAGUUUUAUCGGAAGAAUACACAGUCACCUUCACGUCACAGGAAGAUGCCCCGUCUUAAAGCUGUGUCAGCGGGGGGUUCACUCGGAGCACAAAAAUGUAGUCAAAGACAAAGGUUGGAUUUCUCUAUUUCCCUUGAGUGGGGAUAUCAGAGUAGUUUUAUUUCCUUUACAGGCUUAUACAACAAUCAAGCAAGUGAGCAAGCAGAUAUAUUUAUGUACUGUCCCGAAGGUUACGCUAUUAUGUCAUGUUCCGUAGGUUUAUGCUAUGAGUUCAUGUCCCGUCUAAUGAUUAUAAUGUUCUAUGAGUUCAUGUCCCGUCUAAUGAUUAGAAUGUUUAAUAUUUCAGCUAAGGAUUAUUAUGCUAAAUGCUCCAUGUCCAGAGUGUAUAUUUCUCUCUGUGAGGAGCGUAAAUCUAAGUGUUGACCUGUAUAGGGGUCCCUUGUAAAAGAGAGCCAGCUGAGUUGUCUCUGUGAGACAGCGCCGGCUGUGUGCUAAGUGUUGCUGCUACUGAGCGAAGACUGACUGUUCUCUUCUGAAGAGCGAAAACUGAGUUUUCUCUGAGAAGAGACAAAAAACAAGUUUCCUGCGGGUUGUCUCUGUGAGAGCGCAAACUGAGUGUUAAGUGUCCCUGUUAAAGAGCGGAGAAGAAGCAUCAGAGUGAGACCAGAGUCUUCAGUAUUUAUGGGUUCUAUUCUCCCUCCCACAUGAUAUGACAGUUAGGUUGUGACAGUUGUUGGGACGUUCUAUUUCUGAUUUCAGGAAGAGGCCCUGUGUGUACGUUAUGCCCUUCUUAGGUCUUUUUUGUUUAUGCUAACGGGAAGCAGCCAGCAGCAUACAUUUUGUCCUAGUUCAGUCUUUAUGUCUCUGAUCUGUGUGUGUGCUAAGUAUUAAUGCAUGUAUAUUUGCAAGCGAGCACAAUAUGAUAAUGUGUUUACAAUUUGUAUACGUUUUUCUCAACAGUACCUCACGGUGUUUAGUGUACCUUACGGUGUUUAGUGUACCUCACGGUGUUUAGCGUACCUCACUGUGUGUAGCGUACCUCACUGCGUGUAGCGUACCUCGCGGUGUUUAGUAUUCCU